UAUAGCGCAACAGAAAGCUAUGUUUGUUAUUCUUCUUUGGUGAAUUCCACCGCAUUUCAAACAAACUGUAGUACAAUCCAGUCGGAUUUAGGACCUUUUUACUGGCUUAACCUGGUGAAACUUGAACCCUCCAGUCGGUUUUUUGGGGCAACAUGAAGGGCUGGGUCUUAGCCUUGCUAUUAUUUGUUUGUCUCAUAUAUGUUAUCAUUGGUGGUGUAGUGUUCCAUUUCAUAGAAACUCCAAAUGAGGAUACAGUGAGGACAACAGCUUUCACAGGGUAUCAAAAUUUCCUUAAGAAUUUUACAUGUGUAAGUCAAGAGGAACUGGAAACUCUCAUCAAAACCAUUAUUAAGGCUUAUGACAGCGGUGUAUUGCAGACUAAUUCAACACAAAGCGCUUCUAACUGGGACAUUCCAAGUGCUGUAUUUUUCUCUGCUACAAUUAUCA